UACGUAGGGUGCGAGCGUUAAUCGGAAUUACUGGGCGUAAAGCGUGCGCAGGCGGUUCGCUGUGUCCGAUGUGAAAGCCCCGGGCUUAACCUGGGAACUGCAUUGGUGACUGGCAGGCUUUGAGUGUGGCAGAGGGAGGUAGAAUUCCACGUGUAGCAGUGAAAUGCGUAGAGAUGUGGAGGAAUACCGAUGGCGAAGGCAGGUCUCUGGGCUGACACUGACGCUCAUGCACGAAAGCGUGGGGAGCAAACAGG
rnacentral:rRNA from 1 species